AUGACAAGCUACGCGGGAUUUACGCAGCUGUUACGUGUAGACGGACUUCGGAUGUUGCACUUCCUCCUCCAGCACAUCGUCCGCCACGUCCCUCUGUACAACAUUCAGAACCACGACCCUCUGUGCACCGUUCAGAACCACGACCCUCUGUGCACCGUGCAGAACCUCAUCCUUCACAGCCAGGGAGAUAUUCCUGGCAUGAGCCACCUUCUUCACAGCCAGGGAGAUCUUCCUGGCAUGAGCCACCUCCUUCACAGCCAGGGAGAUCUUCCUGGCAUGAGCCACCUCCUUCACAGCCAGGGAGCUCUUCCUGGCAUGAGCCACCUCCUUCACAGCCAGGGAGCUCUUCCUGGCAUGAGCCACCUCCUUCACAGCCAGGGAGCUCUUCCUGGCAUGAGCCACCUCCUUCACAGCUAG
rnacentral:rRNA from 1 species